UUCCGCCGCGGCCGUUCUCGGGGUCUCCAUCCUCGGACCUGUCCCUGCCGCCACCGGCGGCCAUAGCCCCGAGCUCCCGGCCCCCUCCAUCGCCUACCUUCCUUUGUCCCUUCGCUGCCCGAGUUCCCACCGCCGGCGGUGAGCAUAACCCAGAUCCCCUAACCACAUCGAUGCAUGCCUUCCCUAGUGACGCGGCCACCGACAGCCCCGUCCACCGCUAGCCCUCUCGAAGGACCAAGACAGCGCCCUCCACUUCCUCCUCUCAGGGAAAGAUCCUUCCUAUUCUUCCUCUCUGGAAGGACCAAGACAGCGCCCUCCUCUUCUUCCUCUCAGGGAAAGAUUCCAUAUGUGCUUGUGCUAGAGGCAUGCCGCUGGCACCGUUGGGCCCUCAUUUAUGUUAUACAAGCCAUUUGAGGAUAUGACGUGAUGAGCUAUUUUUCAGUCAACGCGUGGCGAGUCCACUUGGAACUGAAUAGGCACUGGUUCUUCUUCUUACUCUCCAUGAGCCCCUUAUACUACUGCUAUGGUUUAUGUGCCUACUUUUAACUCUCUAAUCUGAAAUUGGGCUGCUUUGUUUCAGCUGAUCUGAUAGUGUGGGUGGGAUAUACAGAACAACCUUGAGAUGUGUCUGCGACCAAUCCACAUUCGGCACAACUCCCACAACUUGAACACCAAGCUCUUUGCCAUUUAAAUGGUUGAGAGAAUAAACUAGAUGGAUGACAAAUCCGAGAAGGGCAUUGAACAAAGUGUAGGUAUCAUGGUAAAUUAUCUCUAAGGUAUUCCUUUAGCCUUUUAGUGUGUUUAGAAGUUACAAGAUGACAUGAUUUGUUUCUCUGUAUGUAGGAUCUAUCUGCAUGCAUACUAUAUUUAUCGGCUUUAUUCAUACUGAUGUCUUGCCAAAGCAACUAUGUAUUAGAACAGAAGCAAUAGGGGCCUGAACCAAUAGGGGUCUUCCCAAAGCCAACCAAUCCAGUUUACGCAUCCAUUUGGCCAAGCUAAUUGGUUGCAACGUGAAUGAAAAUAGGCCAAUGAUUGCAGCGAGAGAUGCCUUGCUGAUUAGUAGUAUGCGGUUGUCCAUGAGCGUCUCCCUUUUAUAGGUAUUUGACUGUUAGACAAUUUAUAUACAUGUCCAUGCAUGGGUCUGUUGAAUUUUUUCCUAGAGUUCAAAGUGAUCCCUUGGUAUGCGUUUGUAUUUCUAUGAAAUAUGAUCCUGUUGUUUUUUAGGAAAAAUAUUCUGGUGUCAUAAGUCUAGAUGCUUUUGCUGGUAUCCAGAUCUUUGUUGGCACGGCUGCACCUCUUUGGUUACCUAGCAUGGCAAUGCAACAUAAGUCUACAUGGUAUUGUUGUACAUAACAUGAUAGAACAUAAAUUGUUGACACUAAGCGCACAUAUUUUGGUACUUAGUCGUCCAUGCAUGAUUUAUUAUAGUUAAAAUUCUAUUGUAGGUGCGAACCAACAUGUGAUUGGGUGGUUAGGGGUAGGGUGCGCGUGCGUGCGUUUAUAUGGAUACGUGUAUGUGCGUAUGUAUGAGCGUGUGUGUCUGCACUAUGUUGAAAACAAAUGUAUUGUAGGCAUGCUUUAUUUUUAAAAAGAAUGCGAAGAGAGAUACUUCAUUAGAUAAAAAAAGUAUCUCCUAAUAUCAUUGUCGUCACUAUAAGUUUGAUUUGUAUAAGUGCAAAUCUACUUGGUAGAGCUAUUCUUUUUGUGAAACCCAUGUCUGAGUUAAACAUGACGCACUAAGCAAUACAGACUGUAUUAUGAUAGAACGCUAAUGUU